CGCGGUAAUACGUAGGGUGCGAGCGUGUCCGGAAUUAUUGGGCGUAAAGGGCUCGUAGGCGGUUUGUCGCGUCGGGAGUGAAAACGCCGUGCUUAACACGGCGCCUGCUUCCGAUACGGGCAGACUAGAGGUAUUCAGGGGAGAACGGAAUUCCUGGUGUAGCGGUGAAAUGCGCAGAUAUCAGGAGGAACACCGGUGGCGAAGGCGGUUCUCUGGGAAUGACCUGACGCUGAGGAGCGAAAGUGUGGGGAGCGAACAGGAUUAGAUACCCUGGUAGUCCACACCGUAAACGUUGGGCGCUAGGUGUGGGGUCCAUUCCACGGAUUCCGUGCCGCAGCUAACGCAUUAAGCGCCCCGCCUGGGGAGUACGGCCGCAAGGCUAAAACUCAAAGGAAUUGACGGGGGCCCGCACAAGCGGCGGAGCAUGCGGAUUAAUUCGAUGCAACGCGAAGAACCUUACCUGGGUUUGACAUACACCCUGCCGCCUCAGAGAUGGGGCUUCUUUUGGGGGUGUACAGGUGGUGCAUGGCUGUCGUCAGCUCGUGUCGUGAGAUGUUGGGUUAAGUCCCGCAACGAGCGCAACCCUCGUUCUAUGUUGCCAGCACGUAAUGGUGGGGACUCAUAGGAGACUGCCGGGGUCAACUCGGAGGAAGGUGGGGAUGACGUCAAGUCAUCAUGCCCCUUAUGUCCAGGGCUUCACGCAUGCUACAAUGGCCGGUACAAAGGGCUGCGAUCCCGUAAGGGGGAGCGAAUCCCAAAAAGCCGGUCUCAGCUCGGAUUGGGGUCUGCAACUCGACCCCAUGAAGUCGGAGUCGCUAGUAAUCGCAGAUCAGCAACGCUGCGGUGAAUACGUUCCCGGGCCUUGUACACACCGCCCGUCACGUCACGAAAGUCGGCAACACCCGAAGCCGGUGGCCCAACCCUUGUGGAGGGAGCCGUCGAAGGUGGGGCUGGA
rnacentral:rRNA from 1 species